CUUGACCACAGUUUGUGUCCACAAGAGCAGGAGAUUCCAUCAGAUUUAUGCAAGGCUUCAGAGGAACAGCAGAGUGGCUGCUCAGAAGACGUGAAGGAGAUGCUGCUGCUUAUGCUCAGCUACUUUGAUGAGAAGGAGGAGUCCAUGUUCUUCCAUGUAGAUGAUACAUGUCUGGCAGAAGAGGUUGAGCUAGGGCAGGUGCCUCUGACACCCACUAUUAUUGUCUGUGGCCAGUCCUGCUAUUCCUCAACAAGGUACAUGCUGAGUCUGGAUCGGAACCUUGUCAACACAAACAUCUCUUCCUUCAUUUCUGCAUUGUGGCUAAUGUUUGGGAGCUACUACUGUUUCAACAUCCAUUAUCCAUCUUAGCUGGCUUCUACACUGGAGUUUCUUCAAAGAAAAAGGAACCAAAGUAGAGAAUAAAAACUCAAAGUGUCGUCUCAACGUGAACCCUCGAGUUCUGACCCUGAUACAGGAUCUCGCUGAUCAUGAGUGGCGUGAAGGCUAAACAAGGACUCUGUGUUGACUGCUAGAGAAGAGGUGCUGUUAAUUUUCACUUUGUUAAAUGUACAACAUGCAAGUUUUGUUUUAAAGGUGCAUUUUGUAACUUUCUAUGAAGAGGGUCUGCCACCUGCUUGUUGUCCUUGUUAUCCAACAAUGUUCCACAGUAUUGUAAAAAUCUUGUCUAUCUUCAAUUACUCAAAUUGAAUAUGUUUUAGCAAAAAAACACAAAGUAUGAUCUGUAACUUGGUCUGAUCAGCAGUUAAAAAGAGCCAAUGCUUGAAAGUUCUUUGUGUUGGUGUCCAGGGUUGUGUUGCUGGUUUCUUCCUGCAGUUGCUUGAAGGGGCCACUCAUCAGCCACGGCUUCAAUCUACCGUGCUAUUUAAGGACAGAACUCCUGUGUGUUGUGGCUUUGAUGCUUUGUUCUGCCUGUUUCCCUUGCUUCUUCCCUGCUUGUUCGAGGUCUCCAUGUCGUCUGCUGGACCUGUGAACGUGCAGAAUCGGACUCCUGAGAUUCCUGCAGUCCAGGAGGACUGCCUUUGUGUCCUUGGUGUCUUCCCGGCAUGCUUGAGGCCUCCAUGCCGUCCGCAGGACCGGUGAACGUGCAGAACAAGACUCCCGAGUUUUCUGCAGUCCAGGAGGACGG
rnacentral:lncRNA from 1 species